AUAUAUAUAUAUAGAGAGAGAGAGAGAGAGAGAGAGAGAAAGAAAGAAAAAAAAGAAGAAAAAAUUAAAUCAUCUUCGAUACAUUCUUGGAAAUAGGUUAAGUUUUCCGCUUGGAUGUUCUGUCGAAAGGAACUACAAGAUCGUUAAGAAAGAUUCGUCUUUAGGAAAGUUGUCUUGGUUCGACUUUUAAAGGAGACUUCAAUUCCACGAACUAUUUCGAUAAACAAGAGAGAGAGAGAGAGAGAGAG